rnacentral:rRNA from 1 species
CUAAACUUGACAUCCUUCUGACCGGUCCUUAAUCGGACUUUUCGGUGCUUGCACUGACAGGAGUGACAGGUGGUGCAUGGUUGUCGUCAGCUCGUGUCGUGAGAUGUUGGGUUAAGUCCCGCAACGAGCGCAACCCCUAUCCUUAGUAGCCAUCAUUCAGUUGGGCACUCUAGGGAGACUGCCAGGGAUAACCUGGAGGAAGGUGGGGAUGACGUCAAAUCAUCAUGCCCCUUAUGUUUAGGGCUACACACGUGCUACAAUGGCUGCUACAAAGGGAAGCAAUGCCGCGAGGCCGAGCAAACCUCAAAAAAGCAGUCCCAGUUCGGAUUGUAGUCUGCAACUCGACUACAUGAAGUUGGAAUCGCUAGUAAUCGCGAAUCAGAAUGUCGCGGUGAAUACGUUCCC